rfam:Chelonia mydas contig158005, whole genome shotgun sequence.
UCAACAUAGUCAUCCGUUGAGGUUACUUAUGGGUCUGUCCAACUGGUAUAUGGGAGUAUAGCCCUAAGUGCAAUGAUGUACAAUCCCCUUGUGCAGUGUGGAAGAGCAAGCCUGUCCCUGGUUCUAGAGCUGAUGAGGGCAGCAUCCUUUAUAUUCCUAUAACUUCUCAGUCUCUAGACAAUUACUGAGGAGAAACCGUGCAGGGUGCAACU